AAUAAAAGACUUCAAAAUAAGCUAAUAGUAAAUCCAAAAUGGCUACCCUGAUAUGUCUUGCUAUCUUUUAAAUAGCUGCUCUUGCCAUCAGAUUUAACAUAAUCAAACAAAGCAAAAGAGAAUAAAACCCAACCCAACAAAACAAUGAAAUUGAUACGGAUCACUUCCUGGUGAGGCCUGGUUCUCUUCCCCUGCAGUCCACCAAUGGCGCCGACUCACAGGAAGAGGCUUGGGUCUGGCUGUCUCCACUUCAGCCUGUGCAUGACACUGGUUUCCAGGCAGGAAUCACUUCCUUUUCUUCUCCUUACUCUUAACACCCACACCAGCUCCAUAUUUCUGCCUCAAUAAUUUUUGACUUUCAUUUGGGUCUAAACCUGGACGUUGAUGCAUAGCUUCGGGUACCCUGGACUUGGAGCUCCCCACACAGAUAUUUGAUUGUGAGUAACAGUCCUGGUCCUCACAGCCUGAUGGGCUGACUGUCUGGGAAGGUUCUCCUCUCCCUCCCCUCGUCUGAGGAAUUGAGUACUAUUUUGUUCGAUACCUUUUCUUUCCUUCCUUCCACUUAGAAAAUAGCAUCUGGCCUGGAAAAUGUAGCUCACUGGGAAAGCAUUUGUCUAGCGUAUGCAAGGUUCAAUCCCUAGCACCACCAAGGAAAAAAAUAGCAACUAUGUGACAGCUUAUAAAAUGAUAAAGGAAGACAAUGCAAUUUUUUUUUACCAGUACCAGGGAUCAAACUCACAACCACACAUUUACAAGGCAGGCACUUAUGCCACUGAGCUAAAUCCCCAGCUCCAGCAAUGCAAUUUCUAAGACACAUCUAGUUUCUGGAACAAUCAGCCCAAGUGAUGCCUUCAUGAAGUUGUGGUCACCUAUUUAUCCUCUCAUUCAGUAGAUAGUCAAUGUCUUCUAUGAAUCAGACACCAUGGUGGUACUAGAUUGCUCAUCUUAGAUGCCAGUCCUUUGAGAAUCCAUUUAGUGUCCAAAUGAGAGCUGUGACAGGCCUCUUUGAUCCAUCAUCUUUGGGCUCCUACUAUGGCAAACCCCAUGUACUAGGAAUCCUUUUGGUAAUUCAGUAACUGAGAACUUUGGCCAGGUGCCAGGCAGCUCAGGCAAGAACGCAUCCUUAUCUGGGGCAAUUUUUGCUGUCGAGGGCCUGUGAGGACCACCUGUUCCUACUCAGGGCACCGGUGCCUCCCGAUCGGACUUUGCAGGUGUGUUUCACGCUUGGUAAAAUCUGAAGUGAGCAAACCGCGCAGCCUCUGUCUCCUUGUGUCUGUGCUACCUGCUUCUUGCAUAAACAAUUCAUUCACUUAUCCAUGUGAAAAGUCGUGGCUUGCUGGCUGCAUACUCUUAGCUGUGCUGCCUUUAAGUAUGCUGAGAUUCUGUGCUACCUUUUCCUUUCUUCUUACCUUUGAAAACAUCAGUUAUGAGUGUACAUAGUGGGUGGCCUUUGUGCGGUAUUUUCUGCCUCAUUUUCCCCAACUUUCAUUUCUGUAGAACUGAGCCAACACUUAAUGAAAUAAGGAGGGAAAAGAACGAAACCAAGCCAACUACUUGGUGGAAAAAGCCAGAAAGAUUAAAGAGCUGAAUAAUAACUUGGAAGACUGACUAACAGCUCUACCCUGUCGCUCUGGCCUAAGUGACACUAGCAGUCUCUUUAGAGACUUGGAAAUACUAUGCUGAACGGGACAAGCAAGCAGAGGGAUCGUGCAGUGGUGCUUUUGGUGGAACGGCACCUCUUUUCCAGAAGCUCUCUGUGACUUAAAAGCCUUGCGAUCUCCCAGGCAAGCUCCUGAUCCCUGUGUGAGCAGUAGCCAUGGCUCUAUUUCUGCACAGAUGGGCACCGUGUUCUCAGGGGGACGCCCUCGAAGCUUCUGUCUCCCAGCCUGGUUACGGAAAUGGGAGAGCCAGGCUGUUCACACCCUGUGUCCUCAGUGAGGCCACCUGCCCUGCAGGAAAAGGUGACGGCUGGAACCAGCGUAGCCAAGGUGAACUGAGGGCCAAGGCUUCUUGGCUGGAACAUUAUCCUGUGCUUCCCACUCACCAUUUGCCCUCACAUCUAGCUUUGGGACAUGAUCUUGCUAAUAAAUCUCUUGGAAUGUG